AUAUGCAGCCACACCCCCCAGAGCACGCCCCAUCUCAUGUGAUGUGUGAAGCUAAGCAGGGUCGGGCCCGGUCAGUGCUUGGAUGGGAGACCAGGAAGGUCAAUGGUACCUGGG
rnacentral:rRNA from 1 species